rnacentral:lncRNA from 1 species
CAAAGUAUAAUUACAAGGAUUAACGCUAAUGAUAAACAAACUAAUCAACCAACUGAUUACUCCAUAGAAAGUUUCCUCACAUCCUGUGAGGGAUCACAGAAGGAUCAGCAAGAUAUGAGCUAAUGAGCUUAAGAGCCUUCAAUGGCCAUAAUAAAUCUGAGUUCAAUUGGUGUACUGAUCAAGUGAAAAAUAACAACUUCAUUGCCUCAUUGAGCAGGUGAAAAACCACUUAGCCGAGCUUAAGAAAUAUAAGAGAUACAUCCAAGUGGUAUGGGGUGAUAAAGGCAUCAAGGUUCAAACGUGCCAUACAAAUUUUACUUUAUGAAUAAAAACUUUAUAAUUAGAAAUUAGUUUAUCAACGCAAACACAUCAUCCAAUAUAAAGAUUACGAAAUAUGAAUAUAGAAAUCAUAGUCAUUUCAAUUAGGCUUAUCCAGUCCCUGACAUACCAUUGCAGCUAGAGGACAACAAUACCAUCCACUUCACAUUUAUGCUUACACAACCUUGCAAAUUAAUUCCCUAUGUACACAAUACCUUGCAAGUAUAUGGGCCAGCCAAACAAAUUAGGAUCUUAUUCGCAUUUGAAUUUAUAGGCAACUAGAGUCAAGCAUACCAUCUGAUUUCAUAUUAUAAUAACUGCACGUAGCAAUCACAACAUCUUAACUUACACCAUAUAGAAUAUUAUAAAUGAAUAAUGAAGCAUUAGGGACAUCCAGGCAAAAUCCACAUUAUCUGCUUUCACACCGUGAAUAUCAUCAUGACCUAUUUAGGGACUUCAUGAUCGAAGCAUACCAAUUUACAAUAUGAAUAUCACUCAUAUUGCAAUUGAAUUUAGGAAGCCAAAGGGACAACUUUUUUUUAUUCAGCAUCCUCAUAUUGCAAUUUCGUAUAUAGCCAAUCCAACUAAUUAGGGUCUCAUUUGGAUUUACAAAUUAUAGGCAACUAUAAUUCAUCUUGCAAGCACUGUCAAAUUUUUGAAGCCCAAACCAAAAUCUUGGGUUUUUAAAGCCAAAUAAACUUUCGGUUCAUCGAGAUCAAGCAUUCUUGAAUAAUCAAGAUUGAGAUUAGGAAAAUCUCAUUACCGCCAGGAAUGAAAGAAUUUGUUGCCACAACAUACUUUUAGGGUUUUGGGACAGUGUUUGUAAACUCAAGAAAUACACGUUUUCCUUCAAUCAAAUAAACAGAGAUUCAAAGAUUGAAAAUCAAUAGAGAUAUGCCAUUAAUAAAGGGUCGGUAAGGGCACAAGUAAAUCAAGUUCUAUCUUUCGAUCCAAUCAGUGAUUCAGGAUUUGCAAUAAAUAACGAUGAUCGAAAAUCAAGAGAUAUGACCUUGAUAAUGGGUCAAAAAGGGCAAUAGAAGAUCAAAUUCUAUCUCUCUAUUUAGCCAUUCUUUAGCUUUUAAAAUUGUUUCAACUGUACCCUUUUAGUCAAUUUGAAGACUAGCAAUUUACGGUUUUAUUGUUUCAAAUGAAAUUUUGGAAAACAACCAUAAAUUGCCAUUUAUUAAAUAAAGGAAUUUUCUGAAAGCAAUAAGAAGAACAUUGAUAAAAGCAGCUGGCAUCACUCGGAAAAAAAAAGCACUCAAAUUUUAUCCUAAAACUUUGAGGUACCUCAACAGCAUUUUCUGUUCAGAUAACAGCUACCUCUGCCAAUUUAAUGUUGCCACUUAGCAGUGAAUGAAAACCCAUCAAGAAGCUCUGAGACACUUUAAGCCCCACUUUCCCAUCAAUAACUCGACAAGGUGAUGCUCACUGUAAAUGCUUAGAUAGCUAAUUUGAAUAGAGAAACUAAGGUAAAAAAAUAUUAGAUAUCGGUUACUGCAAGGACAAAGAAUGAAAAGUACCUGCAACUAUGGUAUGAAGUUAUAAAAAUCGACCCAGGAGAAUUUCGGAGAAGAAAAGCCAGUGGCAAAAAGGUUAACAUUAAAGGCAAACUAAAAUAAAAAAUCAAUUAAUUAGUUCAGUCCAUAGAGGAGGGUCAAAGGACGAGAGAUGAUUAACAUAUUUUCUCACCAUUGAAGUCACUAUCAGCCCCAAGAAUAUAGAUGAAUCCUAAACUCCAAUGUCAAACCAAUCAACCUCAAAAGAUCAUGUAUGCAUAUAAGCAGAUGUUGUAUUGCAUUUGUGCUUAAUCAUCACCUUCCAUAAAAUCCACGCAACAGACACAGUUCUUCUACAAUACUAUAAUUUCAUGAACACAAUCAAUUGUAAAAUGAGAAGGCACAUCUUUACCACAUGCUUGGUAAAAUCAAGAAAUAGUUGAAACAAUUAUUCAGGAAAAACACUCUUUUCAUGUUGUGAAGCACCAGAAGGUCCAAUAACAAAAGGCCGCCAUUCAUCAAAACUAUAACUUUCAGGAUCCAAACCUUUACAAUUUAACAAUGUACACAUUGACAAACCCAGAAAGCACUAGGUUUAAAAGAAACUGGUUAAUUAAAAGCCUUUAUAAUCAAAUAAAAACAAGACGGUUGGUAUCCAAUACCUCUAAACUUUCAGGGUCGUUGGUAAGAGUGACAUGGGCACCAAAGUUUAGGGGCAACCAAACCAGGCAUUUUCCAGAACCAACCUCAACAUACCUGUCAAAAAUUAUACUACUAGGCCACUCAAAUGGAUCAUACACCCCUUCAUAUUCUCAAUGAUGCAGUUUCAAAAUCAUCACUCAAAUAAUACUAGAAAACGGUGGUCAUAGUCACACCAUAUUCUGUACUCAUGUUAUAUAGUUUAAUUGUUAACAAUGUAUUAUGUAUUUGACAACUAGUCUCACCAUAUUCUGUACUCUCAAAGCUAAAAAUAUUUCAUCCCCUUUACAUAGAACAAUGAGAUUACAUGCCUGAAAAUCCAACAAUACAUAUUAUCAAUAUUGCUCAAACAUAUUAUUAGCAUAAUCUUCAUAGAUGAACAGAAGUAACAUCAACCAGAGUAACUAGCUUCUCUUCCUCAACUACAUAAAGGAUAUUUCAUCUUGCUCUCCAUAUAAUCGAAUUGGGUUACACAGACGGAAAUAUGUUGGCAGUCAAGAUAGAUCAAGGAAAUGGGACACUGUUCCCAGAGGAGCAGUCCAAAUAUUAGAGAUGGACCUUUCCCCUUUGUACUAGCUUAGUUUGUCUAUUCUUUCCAAUGUACAAAAAAACAAGUGCUACACAAGAAAUCCUAAUUUUUAAGAUGAACUUAAUUGACUUAGUGGCUAGGUAUAGAGUUAGAUAGGAGUUAGUGUGAUAAGCCAUCCAGAAAUAUGUACAGGCAUAUAUACAAUAAUAAUGAUUCAUGUUACUCCAUCACAUGUAUCACCAUUUGUUAAAGUAACCUUCUAUAAAUAUAGUCUUCAAAACCAUUUUCAUGAAGCUUAUAUUUACAAAUACCUGAAUAAAACUAGAAGCUCAAUUUACAAAAAGAAAGAAGUUUAACCUUCAAGAGAAUGUCUCACUCUCCUGCUGUUUCUCCUGCUCUGGCUGUGAAUCCUGAAGCAACAUCAAACCCAUCUAAUGAUCCACCUAAUUCAUUUCAGAUUAAAGCUGCUUAUGGGGUUAUCCACCCCUGUAAUGAAAUUGUUUUUCAGUCCAUAAUCUCAAUGAUAAGAUAAGAUGGGAGCAAUAGGCAUUUGAGUAGUGGAGGAUUACCAACAUAUAUAUUUCACUUGUCAAGUAAAGGUUCUGACUCAGUUACUACUACGAACAUUUUAUGUUUGGUUUUAUCGCAAUUGUAUAUAUUACAUAGUAUGGGAUGGAUAGAUGUAAAAGCAGACUUCCUUGGUAAUGUCAUUAUUUGUAUCACUAUUCAAUAAUGAAGCAAUUACUCAUUUCCCCGUUCAAAAUUUUCAAACCCACUUUGCUUUAUCUUUCAUUAAUUUGCUUGCUAGACAAAUGAAGCUUGAAAAACUAGUGGUUAAACACAACAUAAACAGUUUCAAACAUUCAAGCUUUUUUUUUGUUCAGAACACGCCAGGGUGAAGUUUGGUCAGUUGCAGGUGUUAGGAUCAAAAUGUGAUAGUAAACGAAAAACUGCUCAGAUUAUUGCACGAAAUUAGAAACUUUAUAUCAUAACACUAGGGGGGUAGCAUUACAGAGAGAAGAGAGGUGGAGGGUAACAUUGCAUUUACAAGCUCCCUUUUCUCAAAGCUCAAAUAAUAGUUGGGUGGCACAAUUAGUUAACAUUCUAUUAUUCUUGUUUUAUGCUUGAUCAAUUAUCUUGUAAGUACACUAUUGAAGAUAAAAAGUGAUGUACCAAAAGUUGUAUUUGAUAAGCUGUUGCACCAUUCCAAAACUGCAAAAGUUUAUUAGGAUUGAGAUUUACAAUGUAGAUAAGGGUCUGGCGUAGUCACUGCCCUCACUGUGCAUCUCCUGAUUAAUCAUGCUCCAUCUCCCUUUCGGAUACAAUGCAGGGGGUAAUCUAGAAUCCCUCUCUCUCACUGUCUCAAUAGAAGGGAGUUUCCUCAAUCACUGCAAAUAGCACACACGACAGAAGGAGUAGCCAGAAUCAUGUACUUGCAUGGGAAAGGUUCUGGAAAUAGUCGAUUUGCUUGUGAGAGUGAGACUUUUUACAUCUAGCUACCCAAACUUGAGUCACGUGUAUUGGGCUAUCAUUUUUAAUCUCUUAAAACAAGGUUAAGGAGGUUUACAAAAUAUUGGCUUAGAACAAUUAGAAAGAAUAACAAAUUUUCUCACUUAAGAGAGUUAUUCUCAAGUUUUAUCCAUGCAAAUUGCCUUUGUUUGCUGGUAGACUAAAUGGAUUUCAACCCUUAAGACGAUCAGUCUUUUAAUUGAACCUUAACCCUAUUCCAAACUCAAUUAUAAAUGAUUUGAAGUUAGGGGGUCAAUUUGUAAGUUCUAAACUAUAACCUACAAAUUGAUUUAUCUAAAGAAAAAAAACUUUUACAAUGACUUAUGACUUUGAUCCUCUGGCUAACUUUUAAAGUAUAGUUAAAAGCUAGUUAUUCUAAUAUUAUAUGUACUCAGCAGUACUUACAGUUCCAUAAUUGAGCACAGUUAUAGCAUAGACCUCUUACAAACGCAUGCUUAAUCUCAAUGUGACUUUGUCCAUUUGGUGCACAUGCAAAUGGGCCCUUACUGUCCAUUAAAUGGGGUCCCUGAACAUAUAAACCCUUAACCCUCUCGUCCUUUACUUGAUUAACAGAUAACAAAUUUUGAUUACCUUAGCCACAGAAAAUAAAGCAAAAGCUCAAAUAUUGACAAGUUAACUACUAAGGUCACAUAUGAAAGAACAAGCCAUUACCUCUUCAUGCCGUCCGCCUUUCUCUCUAGCAUGAUUCAGAUAGUGAAGCAUAUGAGUAACCACGAAUUAUGUGAUUACAUACAUAAUUCCUAUAUCCAACCCUACACAAAGACCAAUCAUAAAAACUCAGCCACUUAAAAUAAUGCUAAAAAGUUGAUGUUUCCUAAAAUUCAAACAAAUGUUUUACCUUGGCAUCUAUUUGCUUGGUUACUUUUGCUUGCAUCCGAACGUGGGCUCCAUGUACUUCAUAGUUGAGACUAUGGUUUUAGAAUUGUUUUUAUUGAGCUUUCACGUUAAAUGUUUUGAAGUGAUUAGUAAGCUCAAAAACGAGCCUCGUACAGGUAAAUGUUAAAUAGGGAACUAUUGAGGAUGUAACUCGGCUGGCUUGAUAUUAUUGAGGAAUUUAAGGAAAUGUUGCGCUCAGUGUCAGAAGAGUUAUUAUAUGGCUCAGCUUGAUCAAUGUCAUUUGAGCAAGAUCCAUAAUCUUAGGAAUUUGACCAGCCAUGAAUUGGAUUAACUAACAUUUCAUUGGUUUGAAGCCUUUUACAUAUUACAACGAUGAGACAUAGUUUACAAAUUACAGAGCUUGCAAUUGCAUACCAUGUAUAAGCAAAGUCUCCUGAGAUUCUGCCAGCCUUUUGUAUGUAGCUGCUAGCACUGUAUCCGAAGAUUACAUGAAGUGAAAAUAUUGGAGAAAAUUCAAAUUAAAUGAGGUAAAAAAACCUGCACUAGAGAAUCUGUCUAAUCUGCUAAUGAAGCAAGAGGAAACAUUUUUUUGUUUAAGAAAAGGUGAUGAAAUCAUAAAGAAUGCACAAGAGAAGGUUUAUUACUUCAAGUUAUUAAACAAAAGAAUGUUUGUUUCACUAUUUCACAAGCACAAACAUAUCUCAAGAACUAGUAGCAUGAGCAUCAAACAACAGUUUAACUGAGAAUAAGGACAUAUAUGGCUAUCCACACUGGUGACUUUGAUUACUACUUGCAUCAUUUUUUAGCAACAAUGUGGUCAUUUUCAUUUUAAGCUCCCAUCUACAAAUUAUUCAAGACACCAAUGAAGUAGUAAUGUAAAAGGAAUUCCCUACAAGAAGUGAGAAAACCAUUCAAUGUUUGGCUUUGUGGACGGCGAAUAAAGUAUUUUGAGAAACCAUUCAAUGUUAAAAAACAAACACUGCCUGACGUAUGCUUCUUUCUUUUGUUAUCUCCUCAAUUUUCCAACAAUUUAAUUUGGUAUAGAAGAAAUUGAACUACCGCAUAAACUUAAACUACCUCUGCCAUUUUUAAAAUGGGUACCUGUUUGCAGUCCAAUGCAUCACCAUUACCUUAUUGUGAGAGAUGUUGCUGAUAUUGAAUUCCAUACAAUUUUUGACACUGGUACCUCAUUUGCAUUGGUAAACGACCCUUCUUAUACACAUAUUACAUGUGUAAGUAAUGUACCUAGAGUAACGGUUACUGUAUGGCCAUGAAUUGAGGAAAAGCCAUGAAUUCAAAACUUCAAAUUUCAUGAUAUUUUGUUGAUAUCUGAUGAUUGAUUAUCAUCCCUCUUAACUGCAUACUUCGUUGUUAUUUGUGUAAGUGCACUAGUCAACAAAGAAUUGAUACAUAAAUACAGAUAUACUUCAAACAUAAUUGUAUAUAUUUACAUGCAAAAAACGUCAUGACCUGUAUGUAGCCUUUGACCAAGAGAACAUGAUUCUGGGUUGGAACAAAUCUAACUGUGAGUUUUUCACUUCUAUAGCAUCAAAACAUGACACCCUUUUCUUUACUUGUCCAUUAAUUUAAAACAAUGAGAGAUAUGGUAUUCUCAGGUCAUGAUGAUAUUAACGGGUCUCACUCUCCUGCUGUUUCUCCUGCUAUGGCUAUGAAUCUUGAAGCAAACAUCAAACCCAACUAAUGAGUCCUAUGGGUGCCACCUAGCAUUUGGAAAAUUAUAUUCUAUCUACAGAUUUCAAAACUUCUCCUAGGACUAGUCCCCAUUGAGUUCAAUGUGUGCCACCCUGCAUUUCGAAAAUGAAAUUAAGAUCAUGGGUAACAUUCAGAGAAGGCUAUAGUACACUUUUGGUCCUUUAUCUUUAUUUAAAAUGUCAAUUUGGUCUUUUAUUUAAUAGGGGGGCUGAUUUGGUUCUUUUACUUGUAAACCACAUAUUACCUUUCUUACAUUGCAGUUUUAUGGGAUAACAGCAUUGUACAUACAUUGCCAUAAUUCAGUUGAGUUCAUUUUUAAUUGGACCAUAAGAAAUGCAAAGUAUUGCGGGUUAGUAAUAAAGAAAUAUAUUCAAUUAAUUACAGAAAUACAUUCAAAUGCAGGUUUGACCUGAUCUUUUUAUACUCCAAUGCUUCAUCUAAACAUGAGAUGGAAUUUUCUGAAAGCAAUAAGAAGAACUUUGAUAAAAGCAGCUAGCAUCACCCGGGAAAAAAAGCACUCAAAUUUUAUCCUUAAACUUUGAGGUAGGUACCUCAACAGCAUUUUCUGUUCAGAUAACAACUAUCUCAGUGGCAAAGAGGUUAUCAUUAAAGGCUAACUAAAAUACAAAAUCAAUUAAUUAGUUCAGUCCAUAGAGGAAGGUCAAAGGACGACAGAUAAUUAACAUAUUUUCUCACCAUUGGAAUCACUAUCAGCCCCAAGAACAACUUUUAAUCGUAAAAAUAUAGAUGAAUGCUAAACUCCUAUGUCAAACCUAUCACCAAAAAAUAGAAGACACAUAAAACCUCUGAACCUCAAAAGAUCAUGUAUGCAUAUGCAUAGGUUGUUAUGCAUUUGUGCUUAAUCAUCACCUUCCAUAAAAUCCAUGCAAUAGACACAGUUCUACUACAAUACUAUAAUUUCAUGAACACAAUCAAUUGUAAAAUGAGAAGGCACAUCUUUACCACAUGCUUGGUAAAAUCAAGAAAUAGUUGAAACAGUUAACAAUGUACACAUUGACAAACCCAGAACAGAAGGUCCAAAACAAAAGGCUGCCAUUCAUCAAAACUAUUUCAGGAUCCAAAUCUUUACAACUUAACAAUGUACACAUUGACAACCCCAGAAAGCACUAUGUUCAAAAGAAACUGGUUAAUUAAAAGUCUUUAUAAUCAAAUAAAAACAAGACGGUUGGUAUCCAAUACCUCUAAACUUUCAGAGUCGUUGGUAAGAGUGACAUGGGCACCAAAUUUAUGCAGCAACCAAACCAGGCAUUUUCCAGCACCAAGCUCAACAUACUUGUAAAGAACUAUGCUACUAGGCCACUCAAAUGGAUCAUACACCCCUUUAUAUUCUCAAUGAUGCCGUUUCAAAAUCAUCAUCCAAACAAUGCUGGAAAACAGUGGUCAUAGUCUCACCAUAUUCUGUACCCAUGUUAUAUAGUUUAAUUGAUAACAAUGUAUAUUUAUAAAUAACUGGAUAAAACUAGAAGCUCAAUUUACAAAUUUGCAUUUCUAAAUGAAACCCAAAGGGGCAGUAGGUGUUAGGAUACAAAAAGAAAGAAGUUUAACCUCCAAGAGAAUGUCAUUGUAAUUCUCUGUUCUGUUACUGACAUAACAAGGAAGAGAGGGUGGCAUACUACUAACUGCUAUUACCCCAUUACCCCAUGUGGCAAAUUUAUUACCCCAUUACCCCACGUGGCAAAUUUAUUACCCCAUGUGGCAAAUUUAUUACCCCAUUUGCCAAGGCAAGGCAUUAAAAAACUACAUAGUUGAGCUUAAGAAAUAUAAGAAACACAUCCAAGUAGUAUGGUGUGAUAAAGGCAUCAAGGGUCAAACCUACCAUACAAAUUUUAGUUUAUGAAUAAAAACUUCAGAGUUAGAAAUUAGUUUAUCACACGCAAACACGUCAUCCAAUAUAAAGAUUACGAAAUAUGAAUAUAGAAGUCAUAGUCAUUUCAAUUAGGCUUAUCAAGUCUCCGACGUACCAUUGCAGUUAGGGACAACACGUACCAUCCACUUCGCAUUUAUGCUUAUACAACCAUAAGCAUAUCAUCCUGACUUUACAUACCAUCCAAUUUCAUAUUAUAAUAAUUGCACUGAGCAAUCACAAUGUCUUAACUUAUACCAUAUAGAAUAUUAUAAAUGAAUAAUGAAGCAUUAGGGACAUCCACACAAAAUCCAAACUAGGGUGGCAUACUACUAUCUGCCAUUAACUCCAUUACCCCAUGUAGCAAAUUUAUCACCCCAUUUCUUAAUAUGCUUUUGCUAAAUUAUAUAGCAUAUAGCUGCUAAGUUUUCUUGGCUGAUCCAAAGCUGCUAUGUUAUUGUGUCAAGCAAAAUGAAUCAUAUAUAUUGUGCACAAAGCUAUGGAGAACCUAUUAUAACUUAACUUGUUUGGUGCAAUUACUGAACAUCUCCUUUUCAACUCCAGAAGUAUACAUUGAGCAAGAAUAUGCAUGGACAAAGCAACAAUGUGACACACAAAAUCAGUAAGAGAACAAACUCUCACUAUAAAUGGCUAAUAUAAUUUAUGAACAGAACCACCAAAAGUUUUGUUUAACAACAAGUUUAUUAUACUAACCACAAAUCCACGUGCAGAAACAGGAGAAAGACACUUGGAGAACAAUGGAACUCAUAUCAACAAUCUAGACCUUGCACCUAAGGCUAACAAGUAAGAAAUUUCACAUGCUUCUUCAGUAUGAACAUUCAAUCGCUUAAGGUCUUAUAUUAACAUUAAUUUCACUCGUGCCAGAGACUUGCACAUAAGUGAGGCACUUCGGGUGCAGAUAGAGGUGCAGAGAAGGCUAAAUGAACAACUUAAGUUAUGCAAACAUAUUUUAUUAUCAACUUACCAUGCAUGCAUUUUAUUAUCCCAUCAAUUAAACCACUUAUGCAAACAACUGAAAACUCUAAAGCUUUCUUGUAAUCUAAUCGAUCUCAAACUUCUCAUACAUAUUUUUUAUACACCCCUAUUUUACAUAAGAUGGGACAUUUGUUUCUGAGGGAUAAAAUCAGAUGUCCCACUUCUUCUAUCAUAUUUGAUGUACACAAAACAUUAUUGGUCCAGGUAUAAAGACACUUGCAGCUCCACAAAGAGUCUCAAGGAAAACACCUGCAAGCAGUGCUAGAGAAAGCUCAAGAAACACUUGGCAGACAGAGUUUGGAAAUAGCAUGACUUGAAGCUGCUAAAGUACACCUUUCUGAGCUUGUGUCCAAAGUAUUUUCAGAACUGAAGGAAUUACAAGGAUUUAACCCUCAUGAUAAACAAACUAACCAACCAACUGAUAACUCCAUAGAAAUUUGCCUCACAUCCUAUGAGGGAUCAUAGAAGGAUCAGCAAGAUAUGAGCCUAAGACCAUUCAAUGGCCAUAAUAAAUCAGAGUUCAAUUGGUAUACUUAUCAAGUGAAAAAUAACAAAUUUAUUGCCUUAUUGAACAUGUGAAAAACCACUUAGCCAAAGUUAAGAAAUAUAAGAGAUACAUCCAAGUAGUAUGGGGUGAUAAAGACAUGAAGGGUCAAACAUACCAUGCAAAUUUUACUUUAUGAAUAAAAACUUCAUAAUUAGAAAUUAGUUUAUCAAACGCAAACUCAUCAUCCAAUAUAAAGAUUACGAAAUAUGAAUACAGAAAUCAUAGUCAUUUCAAUUAGGCUUAUCAAGUCUCGGACAUACCAUUGCAGCUAGAGGACAACACAUACCAUCCACUUCGCAUUUAUGCUUAUACAACCUUGAGCAUAUCAUCCUGAUUUUACAAAGAGAAUUCAUUUGCAAGUAUAUGGGCCAGCCAAACAAACUAGGAUCAUGUUCACAUUUGAAUUUAUAGGCAACUAGAGUCAGGCAUACCCUCCGAUUUCAUAUUAUAAUAAUUGCACUUGGCAAUCACAAUAUCUUAACUUAUUCCAUUAGGGACAUCCAGGCAAAAUCCACAUUAUCUGCUUUCACACAGCGAAUAUCAUCAUGACCUAAUUAGGGACUUCAUGGUCGAAGCAUACCAUCCCAAUUUACAAUAUGAAUAUCACUCAUAUUGCAAUUGAAUUUAAGAAGCCAAAGGAACAAUCUUUUUUAUCCAGCAUCCUGAUAUUACAAUACGAAUAAAGAUUUCAUAAUUCAUAUUGCAAUUUCGUAUAUAGCCAUCCAACUAAUUAGGGUCUCAUUUGGAUUACAUAAUUCAUAUUACUACAAUUCAUCUUGCAAGCAUUGUCCAAUUUUUGCCAAAUAAAUUUUCGGUUCAUUGAGAUAAAACAUUCUUGAAUAAUCAAGAUUGAGAUUAGGAAUGAAAGAGUUUGUUGCCACAACAUACUUUUAGGGUUUUAGGAGAGUGUUCGUAAGCUCAAGAAAUACACUUUUCCCUUCAAUAUCUCCAUCCAAUCAGUGAUUCAAGAUUUGCAAUAAAAAACGAUAAUUGAAAAUCAAGAGAGAUAUUCAGCCAUUGUUUCAGGAAUUGCAAAAAUGAUCAAUUAUAAAGAAAGAACUUACGAAUAUCAUCAUAGUUUGAACUGAUUUUGUUUAACAGUAUAAGAAAGACGAGAGUUUCAUCAAUUGUAAACAGAUGAAACAAACUCAAAGACAGAGAAAUCAAAUUAUGUCGUAUCUUUCUUUCGCUAUCGCAUUAUAGUUUCAAGUUUCA